GAGACAGCUGAGGGGGAGGGGCCCCGCGACGCCCCGCUCUCCCGCCGCCGUCCUCCUCCUCCAGCUCCAGUCAGUGGAGCACAAGAACGUGCCCCCCCCCGCCCCCGGCGUGGACGAAAACGCCUGGCCCACGCCCCGGAAGUUCGCCCCUGGCCCAGCCAAGUCUGUCUGGUGACCCAUGUUGCGGCCGCACUAAGGCCGCCCCGGCCCAUAGCGCGGAUUCAAGAACCUGGAGACCGUCUCCGCGGCCCGGGCCCACUGCGCCGGAGGAGCCGCCUACCCGCCAUAACGGCGCAGGUGCGCCGGCGUGCGGAGCGGUGCAUUUCGGGACGUAUAGUUUUCCCGCGGCAUGGUGGGAGUCGUGGUUUGUGUGCGGCCCCGCCUACCCACCAUGACGUAGAGUCGCCUACCCACUAUGGUGGCUCAGGCUCCCUGAGCAGGCUUAUUGCUCCGGUGCGCGGAGCGGUGCAUUUCGGGACGUGUAGUUUCCCCGCGGCAUUGUGGGAGUGGUGGUUUGCGCGCGGCUCCGGAGCUGGAUCCUCCGCGGCCUUGAGCUAACAGUGGGACCUGUCCCAAGCAGGUUCCCGCCCCUCCUUGUCUGCGUGGCCCACACAACCAGGAGUGGAGCCCCAGUUGGUCCAGCAUGAACUGGAAGGUGCUUGAACACUUCCCCCUGCUGCUGUAUAUCUUGGCGGCGAAAACACUAAUCCUCUGCCUGGCGUUUGCCGGAGUCAAAGUCUACCAGAGGAAACGAUUGGAAGCAAAGCAGCAAAAGGUGGAAGCUGAGAAGAGGAAGCAGGCGGAGAAGAAAGAGAGCUAAAGGGGAGUGAAAGAUUUUGUGGUGUAACUGUCAGCUCAAGUGGACUCCAGCUGAGAAGAAAGUCUUAAUUAUUGAACAAUAUGUCAGAAGACAAACUCGCAGCCUCUAGUCUAACUGAAAAUGAUGUGAAUUUUUAUAUGCUUUUAGAAGAACCAGUAUUUUGUUUGCUAAAAUAAAAUAACCUUUGUAGAAU
rnacentral:lncRNA from 1 species